UCUCCUGGAAAACGGGUGGUAAUGCCGGAUGCUCCAGCUGACCGCAUGGUCUGUUGGGAAAGCUUUCGCGGUAUGGGAUGGGGUCGCGUCCUAUCAGCUUGACGGCGGGGUAACGGCCCACCGUGGCUUCGACGGGUAGCCGGCCUGAGAGGGCGACCGGCCACAUUGGGACUGAGAUACGGCCCAGACUCCUACGGGAGGCAGCAGUGGGGAAUAUUGCACAAUGGGCGCAAGCCUGAUGCAGCGACGCCGCGUGAGGGAUGGAGGCCUUCGGGUUGUAAACCUCUUUUAUCGGGGAGCAAGCGAGAGUGAGUUUACCCGUUGAAUAAGCACCGGCUAACUACGUGCCAGCAGCCGCGGUAAUACGUAGGGUGCAAGCGUUAUCCGGAAUUAUUGGGCGUAAAGGGCUCGUAGGCGGUUCGUCGCGUCCGGUGUGAAAGUCCAUCGCUUAACGGUGGAUCCGCGCCGGGUACGGGCGGGCUUGAGUGCGGUAGGGGAGACUGGAAUUCCCGGUGUAACGGUGGAAUGUGUAGAUAUCGGGAAAGAACACCCUGA
rnacentral:rRNA from 1 species